rnacentral:rRNA from 1 species
UGCUCUCUGAUUCAGCGGCGGACGGGUGAGUAAUGCCUAGGAAUCUGCCUGAUAGUGGGGGACAACGUUUCGAAAGGAACGCUAAUACCGCAUACGUCCUACGGGAGAAAGCAGGGGACCUUCGGGCCUUGCGCUAUCAGAUGAGCCUAGGUCGGAUUAGCUAGUUGGUGAGGUAAUGGCUCACCAAGGCGACGAUCCGUAACUGGUCUGAGAGGAUGAUCAGUCACACUGGAACUGAGACACGGUCCAGACUCCUACGGGAGGCAGCAGUGGGGAAUAUUGGACAAUGGGCGAAAGCCUGAUCCAGCCAUGCCGCGUGUGUGAAGAAGGUCUUCGGAUUGUAAAGCACUUUAAGUUGGGAGGAAGGGCAUUAACCUAAUACGUUAGUGUUUUGACGUUACCGACAGAAUAAGCACCGGCUAACUUCGUGCCAGCAGCCGCGGUAAUACGAAGGGUGCAAGCGUUAAUCGGAAUUACUGGGCGUAAAGCGCGCGUAGGUGGUUUGUUAAGUUGGAUGUGAAAGCCCCGGGCUCAACCUGGGAACUGCAUCCAAAACUGGCAAGCUAGAGUAUGGCAGAGGGUAGUGGAAUUUCCUGUGUA